rnacentral:rRNA from 1 species
GAAUAUUGGACAAUGGAGGAAACUCUGAUCCAGCCAUGCCGCGUGAGUGAUGAAGGCCUUCGGGUUGUAAAGCUCUUUUAGAUGUGACGAUGAUGACGGUAACAUCAGAAAAAGCCCCGGCUAACUUCGUGCCAGCAGCCGCGGUAAUACGAAGGGGGCGAGCGUUGUUCGGAAUCACUGGGCUUAAAGCGUACGUAGGCGGCUUUACAAGUCAGAAGUGAAAUCCCAGGGCUUAACCCUGGAAUUGCUUUUGAAACUGUAAGUCUGGAAUCCGGUAGAGGUUGGCGGAACUCCGAGUGUAGAGGUGAAAUUCGCAGAUAUUCGGAAGAACACCAGUGGCGAAGGCGGCCAACUGGACCGGUAUUGACGCUGAGGUACGAAAGCGUGGGUAGCAAACAGG